AUCCAGGGUGAUUCCUCUCCAAGGGGACAUCCAGUGCCCCUCUCAGGAGAGUGGCAACUUGUAAUAGAAUCUGGCAUGCCUAAGGUCUUUUGGGAACAGGGAUGCUUAUUUCCUCUGCCUUCCUUGGCUGCUUACAUGG
rnacentral:snoRNA from 1 species